UUGCUUGGCCACGAUCCCAGGAGCCCACAGCCUCGAAGAGGCGCUAUUCCUACGCGACCUCGAGCAGCCACCGCCGCCAUCACCGUCACAAUCCCGCGCAACCGCACCCAGCAAAAUGUUGUGGGAGCUCGUCAAGAGCAUGCCGGGUCUCUGGGUCUCCGCAACCAGUAGCAGUUGCCUACAACCAUGCCCCGGGCCCCGGCCCUCCUUUAGUUCGUGGUCGGUGAUGGGGUUAGCGGAUCUCACCUACCAGGCCUCCGCUGGAGUAAGGUGAGGACCACCAUGGCAUGGCUCCGCUACCAUCUUCGGUCGAUAUGCCGAUGGUGUCUCGCUCUCACCUCCUUCCUGCUCUCGAGUACCGACGCACUCGUCAUGCAAGCCAUCUGCGAGACGUCGUCGCCGCCGCCACUCCUUCAUCAUUCUUUCCUCUCGAUUUGAUCUCUCUCUCACCCUGUCGGAUGCCGCUACAUGUCUCUCGUCUCUCCUGAUCUGAUGAUUGUGAUGGGAGGAGGAGGAGCGAGGUGGCGAAAGGAGACGAGGUAAAGAGGAGAUAAGUAAGUAGCAGUGUCAACAACAAGCGGCAGUGACCGAUUUGGCAGGGAGCAGAGUCAAUGAUAGGUAGGUGGCGGAUGAUUCGGCUGGAGGCAGAACAGCCACAGCUGGCCUCUUCCCUGCUUUUUUUUAGUGUUCCCCUUUUUUUAUGGGCUGGCAACAAUUUUGACGGGCAGAGGAAUUGCUUAUCUCAAAGGUAGUGUUGAAUACCUUGUUCUUUUAGGGAGUCUUGAAUAUCUCGUUCAAUACAUAUGGGAUUUAUUAUCUUUGCAAGUGUGUGAGGUUAUGGACAUGGGGACUAGAUUGCUUACUGAAAUUUCCACUCAAGGUAUAUAUGCUUGAUCCGUGUGCUAAUGUUGAUCAAUAAUGAUACAAAUUUUCAUGACAUAUUGUUUUUGUUAAACAUACAUAGGAGUGUUUAUAUCAACCUAUUGUUAGUUCUGCAACCUAUUACUUAUAUAGGUUAAACAUUUCAGAUUAGGUGGUAUCCCGUUGAAUUUCAACGGUCCAAGGAUUUUGUAGAAGUUCAUGAUUUUAAAGAGAGAGGGCUGUCACAAGAAUGAAGGUGAAGUGAAAGGAGGACUGCAGAGUCUCUCUCUCCCCGUCACAAGUUAUCAUGUGAAGAACGACAAGACAUGAGUUCAGCCAUUUGUUACAGCUAGAAGUUAAAAAAUGAUCUCUGCUGAGUUUCCAAGAUUGUUGUAAAUAAUAACUGGUUAAAAAAGAUUUAUUUCAAGUUUUCAAGAUUUUUCUAUGACCUUAACAAUUUAGAAUAGUUCUCACCUUGUUACUAGGAUUUAGGAGCACAAACAGAUUUUAUACACUCCGUCUACACGAAGUUGUCAAUAUGUUUGAUUUCUCAUUUUUAGUGUCACGCAAUAAGUGGAGUCUUUGUAGAUUUUAUUUUGUGUGUCUUUGUUUUCUCACUCAUGUAAGUUUUUCAUCCUUGUUCUGGUAGAUACAUUUGUAUCCCUUGUAGAGUUAUGAAACAACAAGUGCAACUCCCAAAUCUUGAGCAAAUCAUGGGCACUAAAUUUUACAAAAGGAACUUCUCAAUCUCCUAGGACUCGUGUAGUCGAUAUUACAAUGGAAUGUUGCAUGUUGGUUGUUCUAUCUGGAGUUAUCAUGGUGUGAAGAGACUGUUUAGGGUACUAGCACAUAAUGUUGGUAACGUUUUUUUCUGUUUUUGUGUAGAAAGAGAAACAUGAAUUUUUUAGCCCAACCAAAGAAACUAGAGUACAUAGUAUCUUCAAGAAAGCAGUUUGUCGAGUCAAUAAUUUAUUUUUAUUAAUGAUAAAAUCAUCCAAGGAGGUAUGCUAGCAUACUUGAAUACUGUGAAACAAGUAGGAGUAUCUAAUCACAAGAAAUGUAUAUUUUUAUGUGCAGAUUUCAUGGAACAUGCCUAGACGAUUUUUUAAUUAAAAAGGUAUACCGCUCCACACAUGUUUAGCAUAGGUAGUUGUAAGUUCCCGAGAUUCUGCAAAGUUAUCUUAUUGCAAUCAACAUUGAACAUAUGGAUAAUUGGUCUAAUAGGCAUUGCAAUCGUUUGCCUUUGAUUUUUCAGUUUCCUCUGCUUGGCAAAACCUGGGAAGUUCCGACAAGUGCCUCGGUGUGCUUUGAGUUCUUACAGGGGAAAGCAAAGUGCAGUGUCGUUGUUGAUUUUUGUGUUAUGCUUUGGUUGCCAAAUUGCCCAACAAUAAAAAUAGAAUAAAUUGUGUACACCCUCCGUACUAAAUGCUUUUAUAUUUAUUUACAGAGUGAGUAGUAGUCAAGAAUACCGUCAAGGAAUGUAUAUAGUUUAAUAAGAGAUAAUAAGUUCUGUUUUUUUACUUGGAUACGGCAUUGAAGUAUAGCUUUACAUUGCCAGAGGCA